CCCGCUGAACUUAAGCAUAUCAAUAAGCGGAGGAAAAGAAACUAACAAGGAUUCCCCUAGUAACUGCGAGUGAAGCGGGAAAAGCUCAAAUUUGGAAUCUGGUGGUCUUUGGCCCAUCCGAGUUGUAAUUUAGAGAAGCGUCUUCCGCGCUGGACCGUGCACAAGUCUCCUGGAAUGGAGCGUCAUAGAGGGUGAGAAUCCCGUCUUUGGCAUGGAAUCCCAGGGCUUCUGUGAUGCGCUCUCGACGAGUCGAGUUGUUUGGGAAUGCAGCUCAAAUUGGGUGGUAAAUUCCAUCUAAAGCUAAAUAUUGGCGAGAGACCGAUAGCGAACAAGUACCGUGAGGGAAAGAUGAAAAGCACUUUGGAAAGAGAGUUAACAGUACGUGAAAUUGUUGGAAGGGAAACGCUUGAAGUCAGACUUGCUAUUCGGAAUUCAGCCGCAAGGUGUACUUUUCGAUUUGCAGGCCAGCAUCAGUUUUUGGGGAUGGAAAAGGGCCGGAGGAAGGUAGCAAUUUAGGUUGUGUUAUAGCCUUCGGCUGGAUUCAUCUUUGGGGACUGAGGAACGCAGCGCGCUUUUUGCAAGGCUCUCGAGCUUUCCGCGCUUAGGAUGCUGGUGGAAUGGCUUUAAACGACCCGUCUUGAAACACGG
rnacentral:rRNA from 1 species